rnacentral:rRNA from 1 species
UGGGGAAUAUUGCACAAUGGGCGCAAGCCUGAUGCAGCCAUGCCGCGUGUAUGAAGAAUGCCUUCGGGUUGUAAAGUACUUUCAGCGGGGAGGAAGGGAGUAAAGUUAAUACCUUUGCUCAUUGACGUUACCCGCAGAAGAAGCACCGGCUAACUCCGUGCCAGCAGCCGCGGUAAUACGGAGGGUGCAAGCGUUAAUCGGAAUUACUGGGCGUAAAGCGCACGCAGGCGGUUUGUUAAGUCAGAUGUGAAAUCCCCGGGCUCAACCUGGGAACUGCAUCUGAUACUGGCAAGCUUGAGUCUCGUAGAGGGGGGUAGAAUUCCAGGUGGAGCGGUGAAAUGCGUAGAGAUCUGGAGGAAUAACGGUGGAGAAGGCGGCCCCCUGGACGAAGACUGACGCUCAGGUGCGAAAGCGUGGGGAGCAAACAGG